rnacentral:rRNA from 1 species
GUCCACGCCCUAACGAUGUCAACUGGUUGUUGGGUCUUCACUGACUCAGUAACGAAGCUAACGCGUGAAGUUGACCGCCUGGGGAGUACGGCCGCAAGGUUGAACUCAAAGGAAUUGACGGGGACCCGCACAAGCGGUGGAUGAUGUGGUUUAAUUCGAUGCAACGCGAAACCUUACCCACCUUUGACAUGUACGGAAUCCUUUAGAGAUAGAGGAGUGCUCGAAAGAGAACCGUAACACAGGUGCUGCAUGGCUGUCGU